rnacentral:rRNA from 1 species
AUGAACGCUAGCGGCAGGCUUAACACAUGCAAGUCGAGGGGCAGCAUAAUGGUAGCAAUACUAUUGAUGGCGACCGGCGGACGGGUGCGUAACGCGUAUGCAACCUACCCUUUACAGGGGGAUAACACUGAGAAAUCGGUACUAAUACCCCAUAAUAUUCUGGGAGGCAUCUUUCGGAGUUGAAAGCUUUGGUGGUAAAGGAUGGGCAUGCGUUGUAUUAGCUAGUUGGUAAGGUAACGGCUUACCAAGGCGACGAUACAUAGGGGGACUGAGAGGUUAACCCCCCACAUUGGUACUGAGACACGGACCAAACUCCUACGGGAGGCAGCAGUGAGGAAUAUUGGUCAAUGGACGGAAGUCUGAACCAGCCAUGCCGCGUGCAGGAAGACGGCUCUAUGAGUUGUAAACUGCUUUUGUACGAGGGUAAACGCAGAUACGCGUAUCUGCCUGAAAGUAUCGUACGAAUAAGGAUCGGCUAACUCCGUGCCAGCAGCCGCGGUAAUACGGAGGAUCCAAGCGUUAUCCGGAUUUAUUGGGUUUAAAGGGUGCGUAGGCGGUUUAGUAAGUCAGCGGUGAAAUUUUGGUGCUUAACACCAAACGUGCCGUUGAUACUGCUGGGCUAGAGAGUAGUUGCGGUAGGCGGAAUGUAUGGUGUAGCGGUGAAAUGCUUAGAGAUCAUACAGAACACCGAUUGCGAAGGCAGCUUACCAAACUAUAUCUGACGUUGAGGCACGAAAGCGUGGGGAGCAAACAGGAUUAGAUACCCUGGUAGUCCACGCAGUAAACGAUGAUAGCUCGUUGUCGGCGAUACACAGUCGGUGACUAAGAGAAAUCGAUAAGCUAUCCACCUGGGGAGUACGUUCGCAAGAAUGAAACUCAAAGGAAUUGACGGGGGCCCGCACAAGCGGAGGAACAUGUGGUUUAAUUCGAUGAUACGCGAGGAACCUUACCCGGGCUUAAAUUGCAACAGAAUAUAUUGGAAACAGUAUAGCCGUAAGGCUGUUGUGAAGGUGCUGCAUGGUUGUCGUCAGCUCGUGCCGUGAGGUGUCGGGUUAAGUCCCAUAACGAGCGCAACCCCUACUGAUAGUUGCCAUCAGAGCGUUUGAGCGAUCAAACAAGCUGGGCACUCUAUCGGGACUGCCGGUGUAAGCCGAGAGGAAGGUGGGGAUGACGUCAAAUCAGCACGGCCCUUACGUCCGGGGCGACACACGUGUUACAAUGGUAGGUACAGAGGGCAGCCACCCAGUGAUGGGGAGCGAAUCUCGAAAGCCUAUCUCAGUUCGGAUUGGAGGCUGAAACUCGCCUCCAUGAAGUUGGAUUCGCUAGUAAUCGCGCAUCAGCCAUGGCGCGGUGAAUACGUUCCCGGGCCUUGUACACACCGCCCGUCAAGCCAUGGGAGUUGGGGGUGCCUGAAGUUCGUGACCGAAAGGAGCGACCUAGGGCAAAACCGAUGACUGGGGCU